AUCCUCCCAUUCUUUGCCACCACAGUCAGGCAUCCCAGCACUUACCCCCACCCCCUGGGGCUUCCUCCCCUGCCUCUUCCUGUACCAGGCAGGUGUAUGAGAGAGGAUCUACAGGAAGCCUUCCAGACUGGGACUGGCAGCCACCCUUUGCUGUGGAAGUGGACAACUUCAGGUUUACCCCCCGAAUCCAGAGGCUGAAUGAGCUAGAGGCCCAGACGAGAGUGAAACUGAACUACUUGGACCAGAUUGCCAAAUUCUGGGAAAUCCAGGGCUCCUCCUUAAAGAUUCCCAAUGUAGAACGGCGGAUCUUGGACCUCUACAGUCUCAGCAAAAUUGUGGUGGAGGAAGGUGGUUAUGAAGCUAUCUGCAAGGACCGUCGGUGGGCUCGGGUAGCCCAGCGCCUCAACUAUCCACCAGGCAAAAAUAUUGGCUCCUUGCUACGCUCC
rnacentral:sRNA from 1 species